rnacentral:rRNA from 1 species
AUUGAACGCUGGCGGCAGGCCUAACACAUGCAAGUCGAGCGGAGCGGCGGACGGGAGAGUAAUGCCUAGGAAUCUGCCUGGUCGUGGGGGAUAACGUACGGAAACGGGCGCUAAUACCGCAUACUAUCAGAUGAGCCUAGGUCGGAUUGGCGAGUUGGUGGGGUAAAGGCCUACCAAUGCCACGAUCCGUAACUGGUCUGAGAGGAUGAUAAUCCACACUGGAACUGAGACACUGUCCAGACUCCUACGGGAGGCAGCAGGGGGGAAUAUGGGACAAUGGGCGAAAGCCUGAUACAGCCAUGCCGCGUGUGUGAAGAAGGUCUUCGGAUUGUAAAGCACUUUAAGUUGGGAGGCGUUACCAACAGAAUAAGCACUGGCUAACUUCGUGCCAGCAGCCGCGGUAAUUC